rnacentral:rRNA from 1 species
UACGUAGGGGGCAAGCGUUGUCCGGAAUCAUUGGGCGUAAAGAGCGCGUAGGCGGUCCGGUAAGUCCGCUCUGAAAGUCCGGGGCUCAACCCCGGGAGGCGGGCGGAUACUGUCGGGCUAGAGUCCGGAAGAGGCGAGUGGAAUUCCUGGUGUAGCGGUGAAAUGCGCAGAUAUCAGGAGGAACACCCGUGGCGAAGGCGGCUCUCUAUCUCGAUUCUGACGCUGAGGCGCGAAAGCUAGGGGAGCAAACGGG